rnacentral:rRNA from 1 species
UACGUAGGGUCCGAGCGUUAAUCGGAAUUACUGGGCGUAAAGCGUGCGCAGGCGGUUUUGUAAGCCGGAUGUGAAAGCCCCGGGCUUAACCUGGGAAUGGCAUUUGGGACUGCAAGGCUGGAGUACGGCAGAGGGAGGUGGAAUUCCAGGUGUAGCAGUGAAAUGCGUAGAUAUCUGGAGGAACACCGAUGGCGAAGGCAGCCUCCUGGGCUAGUACUGACGCUCAUGCACGAAAGCGUGGGGAGCAAACAGG